AUUGAACGCUGGCGGCAUGCCUUACACAUGCAAUUCGAACGGUAACAGGUUAAGCUGACGAGUGGCGAACGGGUGAGUAAUGUAUCGGAACGUGCCCAGUCGUGGGGGAUAACUACUCGAAAGAGUGGCUAAUACCGCAUACGACCGGAGGGUGAAAGCGGGGAACCGUAAGGCCUCGCGCGAUUGGAGGGGCGGAGAUCAGAUUAGCUAGUUGGUGGGGUAAAAGCCCACCAAGGCGACGAUCUGUAGCUGGUCUGAGGGGACGACCAGCCACACUGGGACUGAGACACGGCCCAGACUCCUACGGGAGGCAGCGGUGGGGAAUUUUGGACAAUGGACGCAAGUCUGAUCCAGCCAUGCCGCGUGCGGGAAGAAGGCCUUCGGGUUGUAAACCGCUUUUGUCAGGGAAGAAACGAGUUUCUCUAAUACAGAGACUUAAUGACGGUACCUGAAGAAUAAGCACCGGCUAACUACGUGCCAGCCGCCGCAGUAAAAC
rnacentral:rRNA from 1 species